rnacentral:rRNA from 1 species
UGCCAGCAGCCGCGGUAAUACGGAGGGUGCGAGCGUUAAUCGGAAUUACUGGGCGUAAAGCGCGCGUAGGUGGUUUGCUAAGUCAGCUGUGAAAGCCCCGGGCUCAACCUGGGAACUGCAGUUGAUACUGGUCGACUAGAGUACGAGAGAGGGAGGUAGAAUUCCAUGUGUAGCGGUGAAAUGCGUAGAUAUAUGGAGGAAUACCAGUGGCGAAGGCGGCCUCCUGGCUCGAUACUGACACUGAGGUGCGAAAGCGUGGGGAGCAAACAGGAUUAGGUG